rnacentral:rRNA from 1 species
GACGAACGCUGGCGGUGUGCUUAACACAUGCAAGUCGAACGGUAAGGCCCUUUCGGGGGUACACGAGUGGCGAACGGGUGAGUAACACGUGAGUAACCUACCCUCAUCUCUGGGAUAACAGUCGGAAACGGUUGCUAAUACUGGAUAUGAGCCUGCAAGGCAUCUUGUGGGUUGGAAAGAUUUUUUGGUUGGGGAUGGACUCGCGGCCUAUCAGCUUGUUGGUGAGGUAGUGGCUCACCAAGGCUUCGACGGGUAGCCGGCCUGAGAGGGCGACCGGCCACAUUGGGACUGAGAUACGGCCCAAGCUCCUACGGGAGGCAGCAGUGGGGAAUAUUGCACAAUGGACGGAAGUCUGAUGCAGCAACGCCGCGUGCGGGAUGACGGCCUUCGGGUUGUAAACCGCUUUCAAUUGUGACGAAGCUUUUUGUGACGGUAGCAGUAGAAGAAGCACCGGCUAACUACGUG